GAUGAACGCUAGCGGGAGGCUUAACACAUGCAAGUCGAGGGGUAUGGCAGCAAUGCCAGAGACCGGCGCACGGGUGAGUAACGCGUAUGCAACCUACCCUUUACAGGGGGAUAGCCCGUCGAAAGGCGGAUUAAUACCCCAUGGUACUAUUUUGCCGCAUGGCAGGAUGGUUAAAGUUCCAACGGUAAGGGAUGGGCAUGCGUGACAUUAGAUUGUUGGCGGGGUAACGGCCCACCAAGUCAGCGAUGUCUAGGGGUUCUGAGAGGAUGAUCCCCCACACUGGUACUGAGACACGGACCAGACUCCUACGGGAGGCAGCAGUGAGGAAUAUUGGUCAAUGGGCGCAAGCCUGAACCAGCCAUCCCGCGUGAAGGAUGAAUGCCCUAUGGGUUGUAAACUUCUUUUAUGUACCAAGAAUAUGCCCUACGUGUAGGGUAUUGACGGUAGUGCAUGAAUAAGCAUCGGCUAACUCCGUGCCAGCAGCCGCGGUAAUACGGAGGAUGCGAGCGUUAUCCGGAUUCAUUGGGUUUAAAGGGUGCGUAGGCGGUUUUUUAAGUCAGUGGUGAAAUCCUGCGGCUCAACCGUAGAACUGCCAUUGAUACUGAUAAACUCGAAUAUAGUUGAGGUAGGCGGAAUGAGUAGUGUAGCGGUGAAAUGCUUAGAUAUUAUUCAGAACACCGAUUGC
rnacentral:rRNA from 1 species